AGGAUGAACGCUAGCGGCAGGCUUAAUACAUGCAAGUCGAGGGGCAGCAUGAGUGUAGCAAUACAUUUGAUGGCGACCGGCAAACGGGUGCGGAACACGUACAGAACCUUCCUUCGAGCGGGGAAUAGCCCAGAGAAAUUUGGAUUAAUACCCCAUAGCAUAUUGAAGAGGCAUCUCUUUAAUAUUAAAGAUUUAUCACUUGAAGAUGGCUGUGCGGCUGAUUAGAUAGUUGGCGGGGUAACGGCCCACCAAGUCUACGAUCAGUAACUGGUGUGAGAGCACGACCAGUCACACGGGCACUGAGACACGGGCCCGACUCCUACGGGAGGCAGCAGUAAGGAAUAUUGGGCAAUGGAGGCAACUCUGACCCAGCCAUGCCGCGUGGAGGAUGAAGGCCCUCUGGGUUGUAAACUUCUUUUAUAUGGGACGAAAAAGGACUUUUCUAAGUCAACUGACGGUACCAUGUGAAUAAGCACCGGCUAACUCCGUGCCAGCAGCCGCGGUAAUACGGAGGGUGCAAGCGUUAUCCGGAUUCACUGGGUUUAAAGGGUGCGUAGGUGGGUUGGUAAGUCAGUGGUGAAAUCCCCGAGCUUAACUUGGGAACUGCCAUUGAUACUAUCAGUCUUGAAUAUUGUGGAGGUCAGCGGAAUAUGUCAUGUAGCGGUGAAAUGCUUAGAUAUGACAUAGAACACCAAUUGCGAAGGCAGCUGGCUACUCAUAUAUUGACACUGAGGCACGAAAGCGUGGGGAUCAAACAGGAUUAGAUACCCUGGUAGUCCACGCCCUAAACUAUGGAUACUCGACAUUUGCGAUACACAGCAAGUGUCUGAGCGAAAGCAUUAAGUAUCCCACC
rnacentral:rRNA from 1 species